rnacentral:lncRNA from 1 species
GUUGUAUCGGCGCACGGACAGAGCGGCGGCCGCGGAGCUUCAGGACCGAAUCGAGAAGAUCCUGAAGGAGAAGAUGACGGAGUGGCGCCCGCGUCACCCGACCCGCUGGAACCGCUUCUGCACCACCACGCUGAAGCAGUUCCUGCCCAAACUGGAGCUGAGCGGCGGGGCGGGACGUGGCGGAGGGUCACCGCCACGAGCUGCAAAGCCUGCUGGGAGACAACAGGAUCUCAGGGUUCCCUCUGCACCUGCCCUUCUCAGAGGUCCGGCCCAUCGUGGAGGCCGUGUUCAGCACCGGAGUCCACAACGUUCAGGCUUCUAACGUGGAGUUCGCCCUGGCCGGUACGUGCACCCGUACCCCAACAACGUGCUGUCUGUGUGGGUGUACCUGGCCUCGCUCGUACGUACCCGAUAACUUUAUGAAAUGACUCAGUUUGCACUUUAUUGUAUAUCUAAUGUAUAUUUCAGGGAUUUAUCAGGUAAAUAUAAGAUCCAUCAGUUUCCAACCUGAGGGUCCCGACCCGCACCAGGGGUCGCCAAAGCUUUUUUUAAACAACUUUAUAUUUUAAAUAGUCGACUGAAUUAUUUCAUUUAUGUGAAGAAAACUAAAUGAAAUGUUUUAUUUUUAGAUUUUGGAUGAUUGUGUUACAAUCAUUGUAAAUAUUAUCCGGUUGUAUUUUACUCUUUACUUUAUAAACACAACAAAACUAAUGGUUAUAAAAGUUAUAAAACUUGUUACAUGCGCUGUUCACUAAACUACCCAGAAUGCUUCAUGUCUGCCGGCCACGCUAUUAAAACCAACCAAAUAAAUCUCGUUU